AGCGAACGCUGGCGGCAGGCCUAACACAUGCAAGUCGAACGAAGUCUUCGGACUUAGUGGCGGACGGGUGAGUAACACGUGGGAACGUGCCCUUUGGUACGGAAUAACUCAGGGAAACUUGAGCUAAUACCGUAUGUGCCCUUCGGGGGAAAGAUUUAUCGCCAUUGGAGCGGCCCGCGUCUGAUUAGCUAGUUGGUGAGGUAAAGGCUCACCAAGGCGACGAUCAGUAGCUGGUCUGAGAGGAUGAUCAGCCACAUUGGGACUGAGACACGGCCCAAACUCCUACGGGAGGCAGCAGUGGGGAAUCUUGCGCAAUGGGCGAAAGCCUGACGCAGCCAUGCCGCGUGAAUGGUGAAGGUCUUAGGAUUGUAAAAUUCUCUCACCGGGGACGAUAAUGACGGUACCCGGAGAAGAAGCCCCGGCUAACUUCGUGCCAGCCGCCGCCGUAAAAC
rnacentral:rRNA from 1 species